GACCAGACUCCUACGGGAGGCAGCAGUGGGGGAUAUUGCACAAUGGGGGGAACCCUGAUGCAGCAACGCCGCGUGAGUGAAGAAGUAUUUCGGUAUGUAAAGCUCUAUCAGCAGGGAAGAGAAUGACGGUACCUGACUAAGAAGCCCCGGCUAACUACGUGCCAGCAGCCGCGGUAAUACGUAGGGGGCGAGCGUUAUCCGGAUUUACUGGGUGUAAAGGGAGCGUAGACGGUUCUGCAAGUCUGAAGUGAAAGCCCGUGGCUUAACCGCGGAACGGCUUUGGAAACUGUGGAACUGGAGUGCUGGAGAGGCAAGCGGAAUUCCUAGUGUAGCGGUGAAAUGCGUAGAUAUUAGGAGGAACACCAGUGGCGAAGGCGACUUUCUGGACUGUACCUGACGCUGAGGCGCGAAAGCGUGGGUAGCGAACGGGAUUAGAUACCCGGGUAAUC
rnacentral:rRNA from 1 species